CGAUGUGAAGGUGAUCUGACUGUGACAUCUGUCACCCCAUUGAGCACCAGGGUUGAUUCAGCUGAUCUGGCUAGCUAAGCGGAUGUCCCCUACCACACUUACCACUCCAUGGGCACCCACCUCCCCCAACCCUGAAGUUAGGUAUUUGGUUCAAGAGGACAACCUUGGGGCACCUGGGUGGCUCAGUGGGUUAAAGCCUCUGCCUUCCGCUCAGGUCAUGAUCCCAGGGUCCUGGGAUCAAGCCCCACAUCGGGCUCUCUGCUCCAAGAAGAGCCUGCUUCCUCCUCUCUCGUUCUGCCUGCCUCUCUGCCCACUUGUGAUCUCUGUCUGUCAAAUAAAAAAAUAAAAUCUUGAAAAAAACAAACAAACAAACAAACUUACCUACCUUCCCUGAUAGAGAAGGACCUUGCUUUGGUCAAGGUUAUACAAGUAGCUGUGCUCCCCAGUUAGAACCUCCAAACAAGCUCCCAAGGUCCAUUUGCAGGAGAACAUAGGGUAACCAAGCUUUAGUAUUAUUAGUUAAGAUUUUAUUUAUU
rnacentral:snRNA from 1 species